AUGCAAGGCGCAGGGCCAGGGCCGGGGUCGGCAGCCCCGCCGCCGUGGCUGGAGGCGGCCCGGCAGAAGCUGGCGCUGCGGCGGAAGAAGGUGCUGAGCGCCGAGGAGAUGGAGCUUUACGAACUGGCGCAGGCAGCGGGCAGCGCCAUCGACCCCGAUGUGUUUAAGAUCCUGGUGGACCUGCUGAAGCUGAACGUGGCCCCCCUCGCCAUCUUCCAGAUGCUCAAGUCCAUGUGUGCCGGGCAGAGGCUGGCGAGCGAGCCCCAGGACCCUGCGGCCGUGUCUCUGCCCACGUCGAGCAUGCCUGAGACCCGAGGGAGACACAAAGGCAGCACUGCCCUCAGGGGAGCGCUGGCCCUGGCAGAACGCAGCAGCCGCGAAGGAUCCAGCCAGAGGAUGCCGCGCCAGCCCAGCGCUACCAGGCUGCCCAAGGGGGGCGGGCCUGUGAAGAGCCCUACACGUGGCAACACCUAGGAUGGGGCACAGACUUACCAUACCACUGUCCCCAGCAAAGGCUAUGUGUUAUCUCCUUCAGUUGAUAAUAAACCUUUCUGAGAUUUAAAAAAAAAAAAAAAAAA